rnacentral:lncRNA from 1 species
GGUUUUUCCUUAAGCCUCAAAACAAUUUACAGCAUUGCCAGCAGCAUUCAGUACAUUCAGAACAGGAUCAUUUCACCCACAGCUGAAUGAGGGCCAUGCUUGGGACAGUAACCAGAAGAGCCUUCCAGCAGACAGGCCAGGGAGGAAGCCAGGGUCAGUGAGUGAAGAGGAGAACAGAGCCAUUUAAAGCAACACGGUUUAUGUAAGUGUGAUCUGACUGCUUCCACUGGAAAUGGGUCAGAUUGAGCAGAGAAAACCAGGGGCCUUGAUGACCCCAGUGAAGUCAGAUUAUGGCUUUUCGUUCAGUCUCUUUGGAGAAUAUGGCCUUUGAUGAAAUAGUGGUGCUUAGAUCCAUUGCAAUCUGCUGUGUUUCCCAUCCUCUUCUUGCCUCCUUGUAGUUGAUUUGCAUUUUUUUUCCUUUUUGGUUAAACCCAUUAAACUAAACAGGAUAUGUCAGAUGACAGACUGUGAUAAAUUUACUAUUGGGAAUAGGGGAAAAGUAUGGGAUAAAGAAAUAGGUCUUUUUUGUCUCACGGCCAUGAUUCAGUUCUGACUCAAAAGGAAGUGUGCCACCUACUGAAUCACGGAAACCACUUCCUGUAGCUGUUUGGUUUAUUCCGGAGGGGCAUUAGGCCAAGUACUGCCCUGCCCUGACCCUGACUGGCUCUUCAGAACCAAAGCGUUCACAACUUGAGGUGGUUUGGCCUGGGACGCUGAGAACAUUACAUAUUAAAUUACAAGUGUUUCGUUUCCUAGCAAAGAGUCUUCAGCAACAUGAAAACGAACAUGUGUUAUUUGCAAAGUGAGUGUCAUUACUCAACCUGAAUAUCCUUACUUUUUCAUAAGGUAUGUAUUCCAGAUGACCACUCUCAAGAUCUGAACGUACACUGGUUCUGUUUUCCUGAGGGCAGUUUGGGCAGUCUGUAGGGUGGCAGUAACCAGAUGAGGUUUCAAACGCACCCUUUCAUUAGUGAAGCAAUACUAGACUCGUAUUCAUUCAUGCAAUGUAUUUUUGAGCACGUGCUUAUUGCCAUGUCCUGCGCAAGGCAGGUAGAGAGAAUACAGUGGCAAACAAGACCAUAUGGCUCCUGACCUCAUGGUGCUUAUGAUCUGCACUAUACGGAAAUUAUGUUCGCUCUGUUAGAGUCAAGGAUCAUGCUUAGUGCACAAUUCAAAGGAACAUCAAUUAAAAGAAAACGUGUUCCCUCUCUGCCCACAGGACAUUUUUGACCCCAGAUGUGUGUGGGUUUCUCUACACCAAGGAAUUCUCCAACUCUCAGCAACCACUGACUAUCCUGCAAUUUAACUCAAUUCGGACCGUCAUUGGCCAGAAUUAGCACAGAUCCCCAGAGUUACAGGCUCAGUCUCACAAGAUUGCACUUCAGGUUCCAGUCGUAAGACCCACAUUGUCACCUGCAUUUCUGAUCAACUGGAUAUAAAUUGAGUUUUUCCUCCAUCUUCUCUUUGGGUUUGAUAAUCACCCAGAAUAGCUCAGAGAACUCAGAAAAAUACUUCAUUUACAUUUACCAGUUUAUUAUAAAGGAUACAACUCAGGAACAGCCAGAUGGAAGAGAUACAUAGGGUAGGGUAUGGGUAGAGGGGGUGUGCAGCCUCCUGCCCUCUCUGGAUGUACCACCCUCCCAGCAUCUCCAUGUGUUCACUGACCUGGAAGCUCUUUGAAUCCCAUAGCUUAAGGUUUUUAUAGAGAUUGCAUUGUGUGGACAUGAUCGAUUUAAUUAUUGGCUAUUGGUGAUUAAGUUAUUCUCCAGCCCCUGUCCUUCCUGGAGGUCACAGGGUAGGGCUGGAAGUUCCAACUCUUAAAUUACAUGAUUGGAUCCUCUGACAACCAGCCUCCACCUUCCAAGAGUCACCUUAUUAGCAUAAGCUUAAGUAUGGUUUAAAGGGGCUUAUUAUGAAUAAUAAAGAUGCUCUGAUCGCUCCUGUUGCUCAAGAAAUUCCAAGGGUUUUAGGGGCCCUGUGCCAGGAACCAGGGAGGAAGACCAAAAUAUAUAUAUUUCUUACUAUACCACAAUCAUACAGCCACAGCAUCUAGCAUGGGCCUUGCAUAAAGGAGCCCCUCAACGCUUGUUUGAGUAGAUUCACAUGAAAGAAAGAACAAAAGACAGAAAGAAGGAAGGAAAGAAGGAAGGGGAGAGCAAAGGGAGGGAGGAAAAGAAGUCAUCCCAAAAUGAUAUUGUAUUUGCAAGUGAAGAUGUAAAUAUCCAGCUAUUUGUUUUUCUUCUGUAAUGUGAAUGCCAAAUAGACUAAAGGUUUGUGCCUUUACGUGCAUCUGGAGAGUCUGCGAUGCUUUGUGAUAUAUAUAUGGGCUCCUAAUCAGGGAAGUUCUAGAACAAAGGAGGUCCAUUCUGAGAGCAGGUCAACAUGACAAGUCCUGAGAACCAUCUCUGAGUGUAAAAGGCUCUUUGUUCUCCUCCUCAGAAUAGGCCAGAAUCCUGGAUGCUAGAUAAUCUAUCAUUGCUCUGGUAGUGCAUGCCCAAAAGAUGUGUCAAAGGAUGGCUGUAAAUCUGUGUAACACUGAGCAAGUACCUUACCCACCUCAAAGAAGAAUAGUGAGAAUUCAGUGAAACAAUGUCUAGAAUGGCCCUUGGCACACAGAAGGCUCCUAUCACCACUACAGCUUCUCUUAAUAUUGUUACCAUUAUUACAUCCACUACUGCUACUUAGGUUACAUCCGAUAAGGCCAGCAGUUUUUCCAGAGUAUGACCAAUGGCUUUAUGUUUAAUGACAGAAUUCUAAGGUUCAGUGUCACAGCCUCCCUAAACCCAUGUUCUCCUUUUGACAAUCAUAAGAAUUAUAUAUUGACCUUCAGUUGAAACUCAUUGUGAAGAAGAGACUGUCUCAGUUACUUACUUAUGUUUAAUUUAUGAGAGGAAUAUUCUCCAAACAUCAAAUUAUAUACUAUUGAAUCCUUUAAAAAAUUAUAUGUAACCUAAAUAUAACUAGUGUUAUAAGAUAAUCAGAGGCAUAUUACAAAUUGUAAGAGUUUAUUUGAGCAAAAACUGAAUCUAACUGGGCUGUAUCAAACCAGAAGUGGUCAUGAGUGCUCUAUGGACAAGAGCUAGGGGAAAGACUUUUCUAGAAAAGACCCAGAAGCAAGAAAAUUAUUUGAUUGUCUAUAGCUUAUGUGCUUGCCUUGCUGGGGUAAGGGUAACUGACUGUGAUUGGUUGUCCUUAGGAUUCAAUUUCUUAACCUUGAGGCAUCACAGGCUUAGGUUUUAGUUUGUUAGAACCAGUUCAGACCCGGGGUGCCUGGGUGGCUCAGUUUGUUGAGCUUCUGACUUGGGCUCAGGUGAUGAUCUCGUGGUUUGUGAGUUCAGAGCCGGCUAGGGAUCCUCUGUUCCCUGAGCUCUCUGUCCCUCUCUCAAAAAAAAAAUUUGAAAAAACGUUUAAAGAAAGAACCACCUCAGUCUAAGGGCCUCUUCAUUUAAUUAAUUUAACACUAGGUUGUUUCACCCCUGCCUUAAGACUAUUCUCUGCAAGUUUGACUUACAUUUGGAAGAAGGAAAAAAAGAAGACAAGUAGGACGGGAUACAAAGAAGGGGGAAAUCCCCACCAGAAAUACUGAAAAGAGACAGAGGUUUUAUGGAAGUUUCCUUAAGUACCGCUGAGGUGUUCGCACUGUACCUCACACCGCAAAGAUAACUAGUGUCUUGUUCAAACCUUGACGAGUUUCCCUCAGAGUUCUCCUUUCUUUUUUUUUUUUUUAAAUGUGUAUUUAUUUUUGAGACAGAGAGAGACAGAGCAUGAACGGGGGAGGGUCAGAGAGAGAGGGAGACACAGAAUCUGAAGCAGGCUCCAGGCUCUGAGCUGUCAGCAGAGAGCCGGACGCGGGGCUCGAACUCACGGACCGCGAGAUCAUGCCCUGAGCCGAAGUCGGAUGCUUAACCGACUGAGCCACCCAGGCGCCCCAGAGUUCUCCUUUCUAUACAAAUCCAACAUUUCCCUUCACAUAGAUUCUUGUUCACUCAGAUGACACUUUUCUACCAGUCCCUCCAAAUCAUCCCAGAGUCUCCCUCUGUUUCACCUUCCCCUUAGCUUUCCUAGUUCCCUUACUGAUCAUUGGCUCAACAAAGGAUGGGAAGUUAAACCCUAACUGAAGUUUUCAAAAUCAAGGCAUUAUAAAAAGCUGUUUAGCCAAGAAUUACGAUAACAAUUACAGCAAGCAAAUAAAUUAGUUCACGAGUCUCAGAAGCUCAACAAGAUUUUAAACCCUCAUCUCUAUGUACAGUUUCAUUACCAUUUUUGUUCAGUGACACAUCCCAAGUGCCUAAAACAGUACCUGGCAAAAAUAUUUAUUGAAUAAAUAAAUUAGCUUAAGAGUUAACAUUUUAAGUAAAACAAAGUACCAUUAGAUUUCCUCUUCUUUUUCCUUUUUAAGUGGUCUGUGUGAGACAAAUAGUCACAAAUACAUCCAUAUGAAAGAAUAUAAUUUUCUGUCAUUAAUUUCUUAUUAUGUCACUUAAGGUCAAAUGUCACAGAAAAUUAUAUUGAACUCUUGACCAACCUGUCUAUUUUUCCCAUUGGAAUAUUGGCCUAAGAAAUAACAUCAAGGAAAAAUUAUUUGUUGGCAGGAAAUUGUCCUCUCUAAAUUCUUGUGUGUUUUGUUUUGAUUUUUCCUUAGUGACUAGAGGUCAGUUUCAACCCGCUGAAGCACAGAUUCCAAAUUUUCAAUCUGGUUUUCUUGAGUACUGACUGAGUGCCAAGAAUGAGGCAAUGACACAAAAUCACUACCAACACACACACACACACACACACACACACACUUCUAGGGCCUGUUCUGAUGAUUUGCAAGCUUCUUCCUCUCUAAAAUUUACCCUUAAGUUCAUACUUUUAAACCUGAAGUGGAUCUAUUCCCUCUCUCCCUAGCAAAUUCUUAUGAUUUUUUUUUUUUUUUUUGGUCUAAUACACCGGUCAGGGUAUUCCACACCCUAAAAGACAUAACAGAAUCAUCUAUUAACCAAAGAUUAUGUGUCCUCUGCUUAUCCUUUCUUGCUUCCUUUUAAAAGUUGAAUUUUAUAUGCUUAAGGGUAGGUUAAUGACUAUAAAUGUAGUUAUUGAACAAACCAUCAUUUUGUGUUCGCCUAGAAAAAAGGAAACUAAACAUUACUUGGCAGCCCCCAAAACAAUCACAUGUUUAAUGGAGUGGAGGGACAGUGCCCUAAAAGAAAGGGUGGCAUGUUGGACAGCCAAAAGAACAUCCACUACGGGUAAUGUGACUACCAGGUUUGGAGGAGAUCCAUCUCUGCUAUGAGACAGGGGCAAUUCACUUAAUCCAAGCCCCAGUUUCUUCAGCCAUGACUAGAGAUAUCAAUACCUGUCUACCUCUUUUGUGAAUCCCUUUACUAAAACGAACUGUUAUCUGUUGUUCUGUGAUUCUAUAAACCUCAGAAUAAUCUUUUCCUGUUAUAACCAAGUUCUCUAUCGUGGUCAGAGAUAUUCACCUGGUUAUUUUGGCUUCUCUAAUCCUGCUGGUGAAAACACCUCCAAGGGAGCUUUUGGUCAGGAGCUGACAAUGGCAUUUAAGGUCACUUGUGCUCUUGGUAAAGGAGAAUUUGAAAGGAGACCAGGAUUUACCCACCAAUAGUAUACUUUUUAAAUUUGGACCUAGUAACUUCCCUGAUAAGGUUAUUUAAUUCACAUUUGUUAAGUCCUAAUUAAUGCCAAGCUCUUUUUAUGUAGUAUGUUAUUUAAUUCUUACAGUAAUCCUUUGAGAUAGGUUAUCAGCUAGGGUGUUUGAAUCACUGUAAAUUAUAGGAAAAAACAAAAACAAAAAAACCUCCAACUGACCAAAACAAUACAGGCACUUGGUAGUCUAGAGAGAGAGCAGCUCCAGGAUUGGUUGAUGACUAGUGGCUUCCUACAGUCACCAGGUUCCAAGGUUCUAUCUCUGUCCUUACAUCCAGGGUUGGAUUCCUCCUAACACCAAUUUCCCUUUCUGGCAUGGCUAUCAGCCAGAAAACCAUUUCCUUAUUUAUAUCCAGCAAAGGUGACAGGGUGCCCCACAAACAAUGAAAAAAAGUGAAAAACUUGCCUUCGCCUCCUUAUGAGCCACCUUUACCCAGUUGCUUAUCUCAUAAAUAGCUACUGGGGGUGAACUUGGGGGGAAGAAAAAUACUAUGGUAGGAUUAACUCACCUCCUGAUCCAGAGUGCUAGGGUUAUCUUGAUUGGUUUGGAUGAAUUGUAAUUUACUACUGGUGCUGGGGUGAUUUUCUGUACCACAAUGCCGAAUACACAGUGAAAAAGAAAUAGAUCAAAUUUGGGAGAGCCAAGUAUAAUGCACACUACAGGUAAAUAUUGCUAAUUCCCAAUUUACAGAUGAGGAAACUGAGGCAUGGGAAAGGAAGGUAAAGUUAAUUUGCCCAAGAUGAUAAUUGAACUUGGGCAGUCUAUAUCCAUUCUAAUAGUCAAUUAUCUCCUGCAUGCACUGUUUUUUAAGAUUUUAUUUUUAGGUAAUAUCUACACCCAAAAUGGGGCUCAAAUUUACAACCCUAAGAUCAAGAGUCAUAUGCUCCGCCAACUGAGCCAGCCAGCACCCCCCCCCGCUCUUGCAUUCAUUUCUUGAAAGCUUAUGAUGUAUGUGAGGAAUUCUGAGAUAAGGAGAAGGUGUAUAAAGGAAAGUCCACAGUACUAGGCAUCAAGAGAUAGGAUUCAGUCUUGUCUCUUCUGCUUACUAGCUUUGUGACUUCUCUGAAAAUGAGAAUAAUAAAACCUACUUACUGGAAUAGUAGCAAAUACUCAAAUAGAAACCCUGCAGUGGCACUACCUCGGUGGCUCAGUCAGUUAAGCGUCCAACUUCAGCUCAGGUCAGGAUUUCACAGUUUGUGGGUUCGAGCCCUGCAUCCGGCUCUGUGCUGACAGCUCAGAGUCUGGAACCUGCUUCAGAUUCUGUGUCUACCUCUCUCUCUCUGCCCUUCCCCCGCUCAUGCUCUGUCUCUCUCUCUCUCUCUCUCAAAAAAAAAAAAAUAAUAAUAAUAAUUAAAGAAAAGAAAAGAACCCCUGCAGAAGAGUGGCAUCACUUGGGAACUUACUUGAAAUGCAAAUUCUUCAUCUCACCCCAGACCCACUUAAUCAGAAGCUGGGGGAGGGGAGGGGGGAGUGGGAGGGGCGGGCAAGGAAGGAAGCAAGGGCAAGCAAGGAAGGGGCAGCAACAAAUACUUCAAUAAACACUCCAAGUAUUUCUGAUGCUUGCUAAAAUUUGAGAAUCACUGGUCUAACACACUGCCAGGUGCAUAAACUUUUAUUUGUUGUUAGUUCUAAAGACAAUGCACAUGUUGAUGUCUAUCUCUAAGAGCUCCAAGCUUAAGGAAACAAAGAAAAAGUUCCAUAUUAAGUUCUUUAAUAUAGGACCAUACCUUUAAUAUAGGACCAUUCAAAUAAUUGAAUACAAACUUAAUAUCCUUGGAAAGCUUAUGGGCCGCUUGGGUGGCUCAGUCGGUUAAGUGUCCGACUUCAGCUCAGGUCACCAUCUCGCAGUCCGCGAGUUCGAGCCCCGCGUCGGGCUCUGGGCUGAUGGCUCAGAGCCUGGAGCCUGCUUCCGAUUCUGUGUCUCCCUCUCUCUCUGCCCCUCCCCCGUUCAUGCUCUGUCUCUCUCUGUCUCAAAAAUAAAUAAACGUUAAAAAAAUUUUUUUUAAAAAUUAUAAAAAAAUAAAAUAUCCUUGGAAAGCUUAUAAAGGAUUGAAUUUAUUUUUUUAACUUUAUUUACUUUUGAGAGAGAGAGAGAGAGAGAGAGAGAGAGAAAGUUCAUGUAUGAGUAGUAGGGGGGGGAGGGGCAGAGAGAAGGAGAGAGAAUCCCAAGCAGGCUCCGUGCUGUUUGCAGAGUGGGGUUUGAACACACAAACCAUGAGAUCAUGACCUGAGCCAAAGUCAAGAGUUGGACAAUUAACCAACUGAGCCACCCAGGCAGCCCAUGGGGUUAAAUUUAUUUCUAACAAAGUGAAUCUCAGAAAAUUUUAUAGAAAAGAAAUAAAAAGGGGGAAAAUAGCUAUAAACUGUAAAUUAUAAAGCAACUCAGAUAAUUAAACUUCCAGGGGUUAUUGCAAAGUUGUAUUUAGAAAGUUAAUUUAAAAUGUAUCAAUACAAACUAACAGAUUAGAUACCUCAUGCUGUAUGGGAAUAAAAAUCCAUCAGAAGUCAGAAAAGGAGGAUUUAUUCCUGAUAUUACACUUACUAGCUGACCCUUAAUGUCCUAUUUCAUAAAAAAAAGCAAGAGGUUGGAGCACCUGGGUGGCUCAGUUGGUUAAGCGUCCAACUUCAGCUCAGGUCACGAUCAUAGUUUGUGGGUUCAAGCCCCCCGUUGGGUUCUGAAUUGACAGCUCAGAGCUUGGAGCCAGCUUCGGAUUCUCCCUCUGCCACUCCCCCCUCUCACGCAUGCUCUCUCUCUCUCUCUCAAAAAUAAAUAAACAUAAAAAAAAAAAAAAGAAAAAAGGAAAGAAAGAAGUUGACCUGGAACCCUGGUUCUUAAUCAAGGGAAAAUAAGGUGGGCCCAUUAAGGUGGGGCAUGUGUAUGUAGACUUAAGGUUUCCACAGGAGAGUGUGGGCACAGCCUGGUUAAAGAGCAGUGGACUAAAUUGUCUCUAAUCUCUAACUGAAGAUAAAAGAAUUAUCAAAUGUAAAGGUAAAACACUGAGGAAGCAUGCAAAUAUUAUUUAAAACCUAUAAACCAAUCUCUGCUUUUGCUUUUCAAAAUUUUUGCCUCACAUCUCUGAAAAUGCUACAGUACCUGAACACCUAAUUAAUCAAAGGGAAACAUCUGUAAUAUGUAGCAACUAAAGUAUCACCUUCCCUGUGUAGAUCACAAAGUCCUUGGCAAUCACUUCCAUACCAGACUAGUGAGUAUUGUUGUUCUCAUUUUCCAGAUGGAUAAACAGAGGAUAAAGGCCUUGUUCAGUGUCAUACAUUUCUGUCACCAAAUGAGACACAAUGGAUGUCAGUCUUCUCAUUCCUUCAACAAUAAAAAGCUUUCAAGCUCUUACAGUCAA